rnacentral:misc_RNA from 1 species
UGGUUCUGGCAUCGAUGAAGAACGCAGCGAAAUGCGAUAAGUAAUGUGAAUUGCAGAAUCCAGUGAAUCAUCGAAUCUUUGAACGCACAUUGCGCCCGCCAGUAUUCUGGCGGGCAUGCCUGUUCGAGCGUCAUUUCACCCCUCAAGCGCCCGCUUGGUGUUGGGGGACGGCCCGGCGCCCCAGGUGCCGGGCCGCCCCUGAAAAGAAUUGGCGGCGGCGCCGAGGCCCCCUCUGCGUAGUAACGACGUGCCCCAGCGGCAGGACAGAAUCGCACCGGGAGCGCGGCGCGGCCACUGCCGUGAAACGCCCAACUUCUCAAGAGUUGACCUCGAAUCAGGUAGGACUACCCGCUGA